AACUUUCAACAACGGAUCUCUUGGCUCUCGCAUCGAUGAAGAACGCAGCGAAAUGCGAUAAGUAAUGUGAAUUGCAGAAUUCAGUGAAUCAUCGAAUCUUUGAACGCACCUUGCGCUCGACGGUAUUCCGACGAGCAUGCCUGUUUGAGUCUCA
rnacentral:rRNA from 1 species